rnacentral:rRNA from 1 species
CAAUAGCGUAUAUUAAAGUUGUUGCGGUUAAAAAGCUCGUAGUUGGAGUUCUGCCAGGUGCCGCCUGUCCGCCCCAGUGGUGAGUACGUGGCGCGCAUUUGGCCCUUUCAAGGGGAGCGUAUCUGCACUUUAUUGUGUGGUGCGGGAUCCUUGACUUUUACUUUGAGGAAAUAGGAGUGUUCCAAGCAGGCUCUCGUCGUGCACAGCUCAGCAUGGAAUAAUAGCAUUGGACCUCGAUUCUAAGCUGUUGGUUGCCAGAAGCGAGGUAAUGAUGAAGAGGGAUAGUUGGGGGCAUUCGUAUUUAACUGUCGGGGGUGAAAUUCUUGGAUUUGUUAAAGACGGACUACUGCGAAAGCAUCUGCCAUGGAUGUUUUCAUUGA